GACGAACGCUGGCGGCGUGCCUAAUACAUGCAAGUCGAACGCAGUGGGGCCGGGUGAGUAACACGUGGGUAACCUCCCAUCAGAGGGGAUAACACUUGGAAACAGGUGCUAAACCGAUACUGAUGGAUGGACCCGCGGUGCAUUAGUUAGUUGUUGAGGUAACGGCUUACCACGGCCACGAUGCAUAGACGACCUUAGCGGGGUCUCGGCCACACGAGAACUUAGACACGGCCCAGAAUCCUGCGGGAGGAAGCAGUAGGGAAGCUUCGGCAAGGGACGAAAGGCUGACCGAGAAACGCCGCGUGAGUGAAGAAGGUUUUCGGAUCGUAAAACUCUGUUGUUAGAUAAGAGGUAUCUAACCAGAAAGCCACGGCUGACUACGGGCCAGCAGGCGCGGUAAUUC
rnacentral:rRNA from 1 species